UACGUAGGGUGCGAGCGUUAAUCGGAAUUACUGGGCGUAAAGCGUGCGCAGGCGGUUUUAUAAGACAGGUGUGAAAUCCCCGGGCUCAACCUGGGAAUGGCAUUUGUGACUGUAAGACUAGAGUACGGUAGAGGGGGAUGGAAUUCCGCGUGUAGCAGUGAAAUGCGUAGAUAUGCGGAGGAACACCGAUGGCGAAGGCAAUCCCCUGGACCUGUACUGACGCUCAUGCACGAAAACGUAGAAAACAAACAGG
rnacentral:rRNA from 1 species